rnacentral:misc_RNA from 1 species
CAUGCUUACGCAUCGAACUGCGGAAUCGCGAUCUCAUCAGUCGAAGCCCGUGCCCGUUCUCUUGCGUCAUGGGCGAAGGUCGAGUUCCUGUGUUGCAAACCCACUGAAGUGGAAAUCGGUUUACGUUGCGGUCUUAUUUUCGCCUCAUGCCCGCCAAGGGUGAUGGGGUGAACGUGGAUGCGCCUCUUGUGCUCCAAACAUGCUGCUGAUUCAGCUGUCAUGGUGCACUAGAAGGUAUGCUCGUGCUUUGGGAUGCGGAAAACCCUAUGUAGGCGGAGGGAUCGGAUCCCUCCAUCGCCAAACGAUGUUCCAUGAUAUUCGAACGACGCACAUUGCCCGUCUCUCUCCCUCGACGCGCUGGGACUCUGGCUCGUUGGGGGAUCGGAGCGGGUGUUGGGCUCGUGAAGGAAUGC